UUUCCGUUUUCCUUUUUUCCUCCCCACGCCUACCCCUGUUCUUCCUUUACUAGCGGCGACGAUGGGGCGGCGCCGCCCUUGGCCAGUUCUUCGUCGGGCUCUUCGCCGGCGUCGAGCAUCCGGCAGCUAUGCUCGCCCAUUCCCUUCCCUUCCUUCCGUGCGAAUUCGAACACCCAAAACCUUAAUGUUCCAUUCUCUCCUUAUUAAGGGCCUGCUUGCAGUUGCUGUGCUAUGCUACGGAGUAGUCAUUAAUUCCAGCAGGAUUUUGCCUUGUUCCAAAGACAUGACAAGCAGUCCGAGAAACCGUAAGCUGGCAGCUCAGCAUCUUAGGUCAGCCUCCCAUGCUGUACCUUAUGACUACAAGAAAACAAAAAAGUUAGACAAGAAAAAUGAAUUGCAAUCAACCUCAGAGGAAAAUGACUGGAAAAAUGCUACCUGCUCAAUAUGCUUGGAGCGUCCACAUGAUGCUGUCCUUAUCCUUUGUUCUUCUCAUAGCAAAGGUUGCCGGCCAUACAUGUGUGGUACCAAUUAUAAACAUUCCAACUGCCUAGAGCUGUUCAAAAAUGCUUAUUCGAGGGAGAAACCAGCAUGCAAAGUCUCAACCGUGGUGGCACCAACUAACCAGAAGCCAAAGACACAGCUGCUUGCAUGCCCCAUCUGCCGCGGGGAAGUUAAAGGGUGGACAGUAGUCAAACCUGCGAGGCGGUUUCUGAACCGCAAAAGGAGAGCUUGUAUGCAUGAGGAUUGCUCAUUUGUCGGGACAUAUAAGGGACUCAAAAGGCAUGUGAGGUCGAAGCAUCGUUUAUCAAAACCACGUGAUGUUGACCCUGUGCGUUUGGCUAAGUGGAAGAAGUUUGAAAAUGAAAAGGAGAGGCAAGAUGCAAUCAGCAUUGUCAGUGCCUUAAAUCCAGGAUCGAUGAUCAUGGGGGACUACAUCAUUGAUCCAGAUAGCGACAGCGAUUCUUACAUCGAUGACCCUUAUUUCGAUGAUGUCUCUGACCGUGACACAUCCUUAGAUGGCGACGAAGGAUCUUAUCAUAGAGGUUUUGUGCACAGAUAUGGAUCUCAUAGGAGAAAUGGGGAAAGGGCAAGUUGAAAUCUCCCUCGUGUUAGGGUUUCUGGCAUUCGCCGUGGUGUUUCAACCAGCUAUGGAAGGUCAUUUCGAGUUGAUUUUGUCAUAAGAUCUGUGAGUCAGCCAAGCGACAGUUAAUAUCAGGGCAUGGCAGUUGAAAGAUGGGAUCAAUCUGGGUUUUAUGAUAUUGUUGCGAGGAGGCAGAUACUAGUGAUACUAUUAUGCAGCUGAUAAUGGUGAUAUGGAGUUGUUCUAUUUCGUUUUGCUGUUCUGGCAACACAGUUGAGGUUUAAAGAGUUUUUUUCUUUUUUUUUUUCUUUUUGGGUUGGCCAUCUUGCUCUCUGAGAUGUGCCCAUAUGCGUAUUAGGACGAAGGCAACACUGGAUGUGCGAUGACCAUCUGAUCGGCAUUUCUCUUUUUCCAUUAGAGCAAAAGAAUAGUUUAUUUUUUUGAGGGGUUAUAUGUGAACUGAUGACUGACGACCUGUGCUAUUUGCUAACUGGUUGCUACCAUGAAGGAUGAAGCAGAUUGCCAGAAGCUACGAGCUCCUGGGUGAGCAAUUGUUUGCCGCAUUUCUUACUUACGUUCCUGC